AAUGUGUCAGCAAAAAUUGAUAAUUUGAAUUUCUCUUUUCCACCUUGGAUGGCUUUUCUUUUCUUUUCUAUUGCCUGGGUUUUCUGCUGAGGGCUUCCAGUUCUGUAUUAGAUAGGAGUGGUGCCAGUGGACAUUCUUGUCUUUUUCCAGUUAGUAGGGGGGAUGCUUUCAACAUUUUCCCAUUCGGGAGGAUGUUAGCUGUGAGUUUGUCGUGUAUGGCUCCUAUUAUUUUUAGAUAUAUCUUCAAUAUAUAGUUUGCUAAGGGUUUUAUGAGAAAGAAAUGUUGGAUUCUAUGAAAUGCUUUUGUAUCUCUUUUGAAAUGACCAUAUGGUUUUUCUUUUAAAUUUUGGUUAUGUGGUGAAUCAAAUUUAUUGAUUUGUGGAUGUUGAAACACCCCUUCUUUCUGGAAUAAAACCCACUUGAUCAUGAAAAUUAUCUCUUCGAUGUGCUCUUGCUUUCGGUUUACUAGUAUUUUGUUGGGAACAUUUGCAUCCAUGUUCAUCAGGGAUAUUGGCCUUUAGAUUUUACGUUGUGUUGUUGACUGACUUUGGUAUCAAGGUGAUGCUUGUUUCCUGGAAGGAGUUACAGAGAAAUCCUUUCUUCUCCAUAUUAUAAAAUACCUACAGGAAGGAAUUUUCCAGUCACAGAUGUUAUUUCCACACAUCUGGACACACUGUACUUGCGUCCUGUGAAAUUGGGACAAGGCCAGCAGAUGUGUCCUCCGGCUCCUCAGGUUCAGGGCGUGAACUGCUCUCAGACCACUAAGAAACACUGAAGAGGAGCAAUGGAGUUUAUUUGUGGACACCCCCGUGAGAAUGGCCAGACAGGCAGUCUUGGGAGGGAACAGGACAUGGAUGAAUCUGGAGAACGUCAUCCUCAGCAAACUGACACAAGAACAGAAAAUGAAACACCGCAUAUUCUCACUAAUAGGCGGGUGAUGAAAAAUGAGAACACAUGGACACAGAAAGGGGAGUACUAAACACUGGGGUCUU